CUCAGCACAUUCAUGCAGGGGAACCCAUGCCUCAUGCCGCUCUCCAGUCUGCUCUGGGUGUUCCUGGCCUUCACCUUCUCUGGAUCUGGUGUGGCGCAGAAAGUUAUUCAAGACCAGCCAGACAUAUCCGGUCAACUGGGACAGUCAGUCACCCUGAACUGUCGGUAUGGAACAACCUGGAGCUAUUACUACAUGUUUUGGUACAAGCUGCUUCCCAAUGGAGAGAUGAUUUACCUUAUUGGUCAGGUUUCUUCUAGCCAGAAUGCAAGGAAUGGCCGCUACUCUGUAAAUUUUCAGAAAGCUCGUAAAUCCAUCAGCCUCACCAUUUCAGACUUAGAGCUGGAAGAUUCUGCAGAGUAUUUCUGUGCUCUCUGGGAGCUCACAGUGCUUGAAGUAAUGGGAAAAGCUAAACAAAAACCCCAGAGUUUAAUAAAAGAGAGCUUCCCUGCUGCAGAACUCCAGCUGAAAUAUGCACCUGCAUAUCCCAGACCAGAAAUGUCUCUUUUGAGAUUUGUGUUUAGUCCUGGGCACGGGAGUAGCCCCAAUCAAGAAACAGCUGACGCCUGGCUGGGGAGCACCCCAGUGAGCUGCCUGGUGUGGGCUGUGCACGUGGCUGCUGAUUUGGCACUUGGGACCUCUCCCAACUUAGGCUCAGACACAGAUCCUGAGCGCUGA